rnacentral:rRNA from 1 species
AACGAACGCUGGCGGCAGGCCUAACACAUGCAAGUCGGACGAACCCUUCGGGGUUAGUGGCGGACGGGUGAGUAACGCGUGGGAAUAUACCCUUUGGUACGGAAUAGCCUCGGGAAACUGAGAGUAAUACCGUAUGUGCCCUUCGGGGGUAAGAUUUAUCGCCAAAGGAUUAGCCCGCGUUGGAUUAGGUAGUUGGUGGGGUAAUGGCCUACCAAGCCGACGAUCCAUAGCUGGUUUGAGAGGAUGAUCAGCCACACUGGGACUGAGACACGGCCCAGACUCCUACGGGAGGCAGCAGUGGGGAAUCUUAGACAAUGGGGGAAACCCUGAUCUAGCCAUGCCGCGUGAGUGAUGAAGGCCCUAGGGUUGUAAAG